UACGAAGGGUGCAAGCGUUACUCGGAAUUACUGGGCGUAAAGCGUGCGUAGGUGGUUUGUUAAGUCUGUUGUGAAAGCCCCGGGCUUAACCUGGGAAUGGCCGUUGAAACUGGCGAACUGGAGUGUGGCAGAGGGGGGUGGAAUUCCGCGUGUAGCAGUGAAAUGCGUAGAGAUGCGGAGGAACACCGAUGGCGAAGGCAGCCCCCUGGGCUAACACUGACGCUCAGGCACGAAAGCGUGGGGAGCAAACAGG
rnacentral:rRNA from 1 species